UAGAGGUGGUGGUAGAGGAAGGGAUAGUGCUAGAAGUAGUGGUAGAGGUACAGUAGUGGUAGAGGUAGUGACAAUGAUAGAGGUAGUGACAAUGAUAGAGGUAGUGACAAUGAUAGAGGUAGUGACAAUGAUAGAGGUAGUGACAAUGAUAGAGGUAGUGACAAUGAUAGAGGUAGUGGUAAUGAUAGAGAUAGUGGUAAUGAUAGAGAUAGUGGUAGAGGUACAGUAGCGGUAGUGGUAGCGGUAGAGAUAGUGGUAGAGGUAGAAGUAGUGGUAGUGGUAGAGGUAGAAAUAGAAGUAGUGGUAGAGGUAGACAUAGUGGUAGAGAUAGUGGUAGAAGUAGUGGUAGAGGUACAGUAGAGGUACAGGUAGAAGUAGUGGUAGAGGUAGACAGACAUAGAGGUAGAGGUAGUGGUACUGACAAUGAUAGAGGUAGUGGUAAUGAUAGAGGUAGAAGUAGUGGAAGAGGUAGUGAUAGAUGUAGUGAUAGAGAUAGUGGUAGAAAUAGUGGUAGACGUAGUGGUAGAGGUAGACAUAGUGGUAGAGGUACAGUAGUGGUAGAGGUACAGGUAGAAAUAGAAGUAGUGGUAGACAUAGUGGUAUAGGUAGACAGUGAUAGAGAUAGUGGUAGAAGUAGUGGUAGAGAUAGUGGUAGAGGUAGAAGUAGAGGUAGAAGUAGAGGUAGAAGUAGAGGUAGUAGUAGAGGUAGUGGUAGUGGUAGAGGUUGUGGUAGUGGUAGAGGUACAGGUAGAAAUAGAAGUAGUGGUAGAGGUACAGUAGUGGUAGAGGUAGAGGUGUAGGUAGUGGUAGAGGUAUUGAUAGAUGUAGAGAUAGUGUUAGAAGUAGUGGUAGAGGUAAAGGUAGAGGUAGUGGUAAAGGUACAGUAGUGGUAAAGGUAGUGGUAGUGGUAGUGGUAAAGGUAGUGAUAGAGGUAGAGGUGGUGGUAGUGAUUGAGGUAGAGGUACAUAAUUGGUAGAGGUAGUGACAGAGGUAGAGGUUGUGGUAGUGAUCGAGGUAGAUGCAGUGUUAGAGGUACAGUAGAGGUAGUGAUAGAGGUAGAGGUAGUAAUAGAGGGAGUGAUAGAUGCAGUGGUCGUGGUAGUGGUAGAGGUACAGUAGUGGUAGAGGUAAAGGUACAGUAGUGAUAGAGGUAGAGGUACAUUAGUGAUAGAGGUAGAGGUACAGUAGUGGUAGAGGUAGUGGUGGUGGUAGUGUUAGAGGUAGUGGUAGUGUUAGAGAUCGAGGUAGAGGUUGUGGUAGUGAUCGAGGUUGUGAUAGAGGUAGAGGUGGUGUUAGAGGUACAGUAGUGGUAGAUGUACAGUAGUGGUAGAGGUAGUGGUAGAGGUAGUGAUAGUGGUAGAGGUACAGUAGUGAUAGUGGUAGAGGUACAGUAGUGAUAAGAGGUAGAUGUACAGUAGUGGUAGUGGGAGAGGUAGUGAUAGAGGUUGAGGUACAGUAGUGAUAGAGGUAGAGGUACAGUAGUGGUAGAGGUACAGUAGUGAUAGAGGUAGAGGUACAGUAGUGAUAGAGGUAGAGGUACAGUAGUGAUAGAGGUACAGUAGAUGUUGUGGUAGUGAUCGGGGUAGAGUUUGUGGUAGUGAUCGAGGUAGAUGUAGUGUUAGAGGUAGUGUUAGAUGUAGUGUUAGAGGUAGUGUUAGAGGUAGUGUUAGAGGUGGUAGUGGUGGAAGUAGUGAUAGUGUUCGAAGUGGUGGUAGAGGUACAGUAGUGGUUGAGGUUGGGAUUGUGGUGGAGGUAGAGGUAGAGGUAGUGGUACAGUAGUGGUACAGUAGAGGUAGUGAUAGAGGUAGAAGUAGUGGUGGUGAUAGAGGUAGUGGUAGAGGUAGUGAACAUAGUCUUAAAAGAGUCGGCCACCCCCAAAUCUAAUUUUGUCAGCCGUCUGUACACUGAGUGCACAAAACAUUAGGAACACCUUCGUAAUCUUGAUUUACACCCCCUUAACCCUCAGAACAGCCUCAAUUCAUCGGGCAUGGACUCUACAAGGUGUCCAAAGCAUUCCAAAGGGAUGCUGGCCCAUGUUGACUCCAAUGCUUCCCACACUUGUGUCAAGUUGGCUGGAUGUCCUUUGGGUG
ensembl:lncRNA